UACUAGCUGCGUUGUUCGUAACGAUAAUAAAGUUUUAACCUUUAAGCUGUAAUAGGGAGUUUUAAUUGAAGCAGGAAUGACAAGCCUCUGUCUAUACGACAAGGAGGACAUGCAGGAGAGCUUCUGCGAACACCCACUUUGAGGAGUGGUGGUUUAAAACUUUCUUAUAUUAAUUACGGCAAAAGCGGCUACCUU
rnacentral:other from 1 species